CUGGUGGAAGCGGAUGAAUUCUUUGACCCGGAGCAUCUGCAGGUGGUACCGCGCCGUACCAGAGUACAACCGCUGGAUGAUGGCCGACACAUUACCAAAGAUACUGGCGUACAUCAGGGCUGCGAGAGGGAGAAUCACACCAGACAGGAGAUCAUCAUGUCGUCAUCACUACCUAGUACAGUCGACACACUCACAGCCAAUCAGCAUGACACAGAUGGAGAAGAUCUUCUCGGAGUUGGUGUUGGGGGAGACGUUGCCAAAGCCCACGCUGGUCAGACUACUGAAGAAAAGCAUGAGCAACAAGCCCCAGCGGGGAGGACUCUGUGGUCCGUACUCACCAUCCUUGCGGUGGUAGGUGAUCUCCACCUUGCGCUCCUCAGACCCCAUCAGAGCCUGGGCUACCUGG